rnacentral:rRNA from 1 species
UACGAAGGGGGCUAGCGUUGUUCGGAAUUACUGGGCGUAAAGCGCACGUAGGCGGAUUGUUAAGUCAGGGGUGAAAUCCCGAGGCUCAACCUCGGAACUGCCUUUGAUACUGGCAAUCUCGAGUCCGGAAGAGGUGAGUGGAAUUCCUAGUGUAGAGGUGAAAUUCGUAGAUAUUAGGAAGAACACCAGUGGCGAAGGCGGCUCACUGGCCCGGUACUGACGCUGAGGUGCGAAAGCGUGGGGAGCAAACAGG